GGUGAGGAGCCAACAUAUGAUACAAUUAUGGAUUUGCGAGAAGAAACUGGAAUAUUGCCUGCUAAAAAUUUUGUUGAGGUUCGUUUCUCAUGCUCUACUUUUUCCUUUCUCAUGACACGGAAGUGAUUACCAUGUGGAAGCUAUAUAAAUUUAGGUGGUGUUAUGUUGCAAAAGUAUAUGUAUAUAUCAACAUUUAUAGUCGCACUGAAGGUUCAUGAAAUGGCCGAUUAAGAUUGCAAUUUUUUCUUGUAACAAAGCAAUCAUAUAGUCGCACUGAAGGUUCUUUUUCUAUUUUGAUUUGUAGGAAAUGAUAUUGUGAUUGCCUAUUUGUCUUUUUUUGCUUAUGAGCAAUACGGUGUACAUUAGUACCACGUAGUAACGCUAUUGUCUUUGUGUAUUUAUUUUGGCACUAAGUGCAUCUGGUGACCUAUUUGUUUCAUUUUCCUGACUUGCUAUUAUUUUCAAAUAUGUGCAGGAAGACUGCUUCUACGACCUGCCUUACAAUACUGGGUAUCAAAUUUCCGUGCUACGUUUACGGAAGAAAAGGGUCAAAAUUAUGAAGUGUACUCUCUCUAUAUAUGUAGAUAUAUACUUUGAUUGAAGAACUGUGGUAGCUUUAGAUGGUUAAAUGUAAAGAUAAUGAAUGAUUAUGUAGUGGAUGAUUUUAUUAAGUUAAUAAUAUUUUAGUUUUUUUGUAUUUU
rnacentral:lncRNA from 1 species